UUGUUUCUUGACAAAAAUUUUGAUAAUUAUUUCUGGGCGUGUCGAGUCUAGUCCCAAUGUUUCACCCAGCUAUAAAUGUCACGAACUAGUCAAUUUGGCGCAGGAAUCACGAUCAUGUGAACUUGAGGCUGCUAAGGUGGCGCAUUCGUCUCGUAUUCCCAUCAAACCUAGGCCCUACCUGUGAAUUCUCGAACGGUUGUCAUCGUCCCAAGGGAAUCUGUUCAGUCAGCGAUUGUACGAAAGAGAGCAAAAUGAAUCCAGUCAGACUGGUAUCAGCCUUCUUCCUCGUUCUGGUUGGUAGUAUGUGGACGCAUGUGACUGUUGAGGGCAAGACAGUCUUCCUGGAGCGUGGCCAGCGUGGGAUCGUCCCCUGCUCUGCCGUCCUAUCUCAGGAGUUGUCACCACGCAGUCUGAAUGGAGCCUAUGUUUACUGGUACUUCUCUAGUAUGCAGCCACAGUCCUUGUUGAUCUCCAUCUUUAGAGGGAUAGUUGGGCCCCAAAAUGGGAUUCCAGAGGGCAUCUACGACAUUGACAGGAAUUUCUCCUUGGUCAUCGAGAACGUCACGGACUCAAAUGCAGGGACAUUUUUCUGCCGUAUUAAGCCAAAAGGGGAAGCACAGCAAACAAGCAAUAUAUCAGUUGCCG